AGAGUUUGAUCCUGGCUCAGGACGAACGCUGGCGGCGUGCUUAACACAUGCAAGUCGAACGGAAAGGCCCGCAUUACUUUUGUGGUGGGGGUGCUCGAGUGGCGAACGGGUGAGUAACACGUGGGUGAUCUGCCCUGUACUUCGGGAUAAGCUUGGGAAACUGGGUCUAAUACCGGAUAGGACCAUGGUUUAGUGUCUCAUGGUGGAAAAAUUAUUGUUUUGGUGCAGGAUGAGCUCGCGGCCUAUCAGCUUGUUGGUGGGGUAAUGGCCUACCAAGGCGUCGACGGGUAGCCGGCCUGAGAGGGUGGACGGCCACAUUGGGACUGAGAUACGGCCCAGACUCCUACGGGAGGCAGCAGUGGGGAAUAUUGCACAAUGGGCGCAAGCCUGAUGCAGCGACGCCGCGUGGGGGAUGACGGCCUUCGGGUUGUAAACUCCUUUCGUUAGGGACGAAGCCGCACUUUUUUUGGGUGUGGUGACGGUACCUUUGUUAAGAAGCACCGGCUAACUACGUGCCAGCAGCCGCGGUAAUACGUAGGGUGCGAGCGUUGUCCGGAAUUACUGGGCGUAAAGAGCUCGUAGGUGGUUUGUUGCGUCGUCUGUGAAAUUCCGGGGCUUAACUUCGGGGUGGCAGGCGAUACGGGCAUAACUAGAGUGCUGUAGGGGAGACUGGAAUUCCUGGUGUAGCGGUGGAAUGCGCAGAUAUCAGGAGGAACACCGAUGGCGAAGGCAGGUCUCUGGGCAGUAACUGACGCUGAGGAGCGAAAGCAUGGGGAGCGAACAGGAUUAGAUACCCUGGUAGUCCAUGCCGUAAACGUUGGGCACUAGGUGUGGGGGGCAUUCCACGUUUUCCGCGCCGUAGCUAACGCAUUAAGUGCCCCGCCUGGGGAGUACGGCCGCAAGGCUAAAACUCAAAGGAAUUGACGGGGGCCCGCACAAGCGGCGGAGCAUGCGGAUUAAUUCGAUGCAACGCGAAGAACCUUACCAAGGCUUGACAUGUGCCGGUCGGCUCCGGAGACGGGGUUUCCUCCUUGUGGGGCCGGUUCACAGGUGGUGCAUGGUUGUCGUCAGCUCGUGUCGUGAGAUGUUGGGUUAAGUCCCGCAACGAGCGCAACCCUUGUCCCGUGUUGCCAGCACGUUGUGGUGGGGACUCGCGGGAGACUGCCGGGGUCAACUCGGAGGAAGGUGGGGAUGACGUCAAAUCAUCAUGCCCCUUAUGUCUUGGGCUUCACGCAUGCUACAAUGGCCGGUACAGAGGGUUGCGAUGCCGUGAGGCGGGGCGAAUCCCUUAAAGCCGGUCUCAGUUCGGAUUGGGGUCUGCAACUCGACCCCAUGAAGUCGGAGUCGCUAGUAAUCGCAGAUCAGCAAUGCUGCGGUGAAUACGUUCCCGGGCCUUGUACACACCGCCCGUCACGUCAUGAAAGUUGGUAACACCCGAAGCCCAUGGCCUAACCACCUGUUGGUGGGGGGAGUGGUCGAAGGUGGGAUUGGCGAUUGGGACGAAGUCGUAACAAGGUAGCCGUACCGGAAGGUGCGGCUGG
rnacentral:rRNA from 1 species